rnacentral:rRNA from 1 species
CCUACGGGAGGCUGCAGUGGGGAAUAUUGGACAAUGGGCGAAAGCCUGAUCCAGCCAUGCCGCGUGUGUGAAGAAGGCCUUCGGGUUGUAAAGCACUUUCAGUGGGGAAGAAAGCCUUGGGGCUAAUACCCUCGAGGAAGGACAUCACCCACAGAAGAAGCACCGGCUAACUCCGUGCCAGCAGCCGCGGUAAUACGGAGGGUGCGAGCGUUAAUCGGAAUUACUGGGCGUAAAGCGCGCGUAGGCGGUCUGAUAAGCCGGUUGUGAAAGCCCCGGGCUCAACCUGGGAACGGCAUCCGGAACUGGCAGGCUAGAGUGCAGGAGAGGAAGGUAGAAUUCCCGGUGUAGCGGUGAAAUGCGUAGAGAUCGGGAGGAAUACCAGUGGCGAAGGCGGCCUUCUGGACUGACACUGACGCUGAGGUGCGAAAGCGUGGGUAGCAAACAGGAUUAGAUACCCUUGUAGUC